rnacentral:lncRNA from 1 species
GCAGGUGUUUGUGGCAUGUCCAGCACCUGGUUCUGGCAUAUUUGGGAGGUGGUUUCAGUGUAUCUGGUACUUGGUUCUGGGAUAUCCAACAGGUGGUUCGGAAGAUGGUUCCAGCCUGUCCGUUAGGUGCUUCCAGCAUGUCUGGAAGUUGGUUCUGGCGUGUCAGACUCAUGUUUCCAGUGUGUCCGGUGGGUGCUUACGGUGAGUCUGGUGGGUCAUUAUGGGAUGUCUGUGUGGUGGUUCCAGAGUGUUCGGCGGGUGCUUUUGGCAUGCCUGACGGGUUUUUCCAGCAUCUAAGGUGCCUGGUUCGAGCAUAUCCAGCAGGUGAGUUCUUUCUCAGCUUCCUAAGGAGCUGGAAGCAAGACAGUUUGUGGCUUGUCUCCCCUUGAGGGAUGGAGGCAGUGCUUUGUGCAGUCCACCUCUCGAGCAAUAUAGGGCAUGGUUGAGAGCAAAUGGGCCUUUCUGACAUAGGGUCUUUCUGACACUCUCUCCACGAGUGCACAAGGGCGGUUGGUUAAAAGUCUCUUGUCUCUAUCCUCCUAAGCUUGUGGAAUCACAAUCAUAUGGGCCUUGGCCCCAUUGCUUAAGGGGAAGAUGUAGCCAUUACCCCUGAGCCGGGUUGGCAAGAGGGAAAUGUGGCAGAAGCAGAAGUUCUAAAGUAGCGAGUUAAGGGCUGGGAGGAAAUGGCGUUCAACUGCCUGUGUAUGAGAGGUUCCCAGUAUGCUGUAAGAGCACUGUGGAAAGCGACUUCUUUCUCAGCUUCCUAAAGAGCUGGAAGCAAGAUGGUUCGUGUCUUGUCUCCCCUUGAGGGAUGGAGGCAGUGCUUUGUGCAUUCCACCUCUAGAGCAAUGUAGGGCACGGCUGAGAGCAAAGGG